rnacentral:rRNA from 1 species
GAGCAAGGCAGUCGGUCCGCUCCUAACGGGGUGUGUACACGUACUUGCCUGUUCAUCCUCGGGGAGAGCAUAUCUGGUAUUCAUUUAUCGGGUAUGGGAUCCUCGUCUUUUACUGUGAGCAAAAUAGAGUGUUCAAAGCAGGCUUAGGCCGUUGAAUACAUUAGCAUGGAAUAAUAAGAUAAGACCUUGGUCUAUUUUGUUGGUUUAUGUUCCAAGGUA